rnacentral:rRNA from 1 species
UACGUAGGGGGCAAGCGUUGUCCGGAAUCAUUGGGCGGUAAAGAGCGUGUAGGCGGCCAGAAAAGUCCGCUGUGAAAACGUCGAGGCUCAACUUCGAGCUGUCGGUGGAAACUUUCUGGCUAGAGUCCGGAAGAGGAGAAUGGAAUUCCUGGUGUAGCGGUGAAAUGCGCAGAUAUCAGGAAGAACACCAGUGGCGAAGGCGGUCUCCUGGGGUUAUCUGACGCUGAUGCGCGAAAGCUGGGGGAGCGAACGGG